UUUGCAUACCAGAGAAGCUUGACAAGACAUAUAAAAGUGCAGCAUUCAAUUCCAAGAAACAUUUGUGCCAUGUGCAAAAAGGAGUUUUCUCGCAAGGAUAGUUUAAUGAUGCAUAUGAAAAUGCAUUCAGAACCCCAGAAAUCCGCGCCAUCUCGCUCAGUGAAACGAGCAGCUCCCCGUGCCACUACGCCCGCCCCUAAACGACCACAGCAAGAACGUCCACCCUGCCUUGGUACGUUUGCUACGGAAAUCAUUUAUCCUAGUGAAGAAACCAAGAAUGACUUACAAGUGUUUUUAGAGUUGUCAAAAACUGAAGUUGCGGGAAAGAUUCAAGAAACUGCCGCACAGCGCCAAGGUAUGAAAUGGUACUUGAAUGCUUGUGUGAAGAUGGUCAGAAAAGUGUCAGAGACCGAGCAGGAAACAUGCACCCCUUUUCUUUCGGUCCAGAUGCAGCACUACGCUCACAGGAGAAAUGCCCGACAUGCAAGCAGCUUUUGAAAAGGUUCUGAAUUACUUGGACAAAUUUCUAAAAAAAGGUUCAGGAUGGGUUUAGACUCCGUCCAAUACAUGGAGCUCAAGACCGCUGUCUACAAACCCCUGACGGCCUCUUCUUACAUACCUCUGCCGAAAGCCUUAGCCAGUAAGAAGGCUAUUCUCAAUAUACAGAAUGAAGACCACAAAUGUCUGAUCCCUUCAAUCCCGUUGAAGAUUUUCAUGAUCAUCCAUACAGGGUAUCUCACUACAAGCCCUAUGAAAGAGAAAUCAAUAUAGAUGGUCUCACUUUCCCUACCCCGAUUCACCAGCUCGACAAGUUCGAGAAAAUGAACAAUCUAUAGAUCAACGUGUUCGGUUGGGAAAACAAUGAGAUUUUACCUCUUCGGAUCACCAAGUGUCGAAAUGGUGAUCGUCAUAUCAAUCUGCUGUUCAUUUCCAAUGACGAGAAGAGACAUUAUUGUGGCAUCAAGAACAUGUCUCGUCUUUUUGCAGGCCUCACGAAAAACCAACAGGAAAAAUUUUAUUGUGACCAUUUCCUUCUCCGAUUCAUAAAGAAAGAGACUACAAAAAAUUAAAAUGCCUAAAGAUAAAUGGUUAAAAUUUGACAUGCACCAGUUUCAGCUUCCUGUCCCUUAUAUCAUCUAUGCCGACUUUGAAUGCAUUUUAGUAAAGCAAGCUACCUGCCUACCAGAUCCUUCGAAGUCCUCCACCACCCCUGUAGCUGACCAUCUUCCUUGUGGAUAUUGUUACGUGAUCGUGGGACCCUACGGUUAAUUUUAUAGGGAACCUCAAGUCUCUAGAGGAAAAGAUGCCGUCAACCAUUUUCUAGAGUCUUUACUGGAAGAAGAAAGGGGCAUCUUUGAAAUUUUGAAAACUGUAGAGCCCAAGAUUUUCUCCAAGAAAAUCAAUUGGCCUACGAAUCUGCCUUUGAAUGUCAUAUCUGUGAGAAGCCAUUGAAUGAAGAUAAGGUGCGGGACUAUUGCCAUCUUACGGGAGUCUACAGAGGAGCAGCUCAUAAUGGAUGCAACAUCAAUUUGAAAUUUGCAAAUUUUCUGCCCGUGGUCUUCCAUAAUCUGAAAGGGUAUGACUCUCACCUCCUGAUGCAAGCGGUAGGAAAAUUCAAAGACGAAGAGAUUAAGUGUAUUCCGCAGAAUUCAUAAAAAUUCAUCUGUGUUUCUUUGGGUCGUCUACGCUUCAUCGAUUCUCUGCAAUUUCUGAAUGCUUCCCUAGACAAGCUCACGGCUGAUUUGGAGCCAGAACAAUUCCAACUGACAAGAAAAAAACAGAUCUGAUGCUUCGAAAAGGUGUCUAUCCUUAUGAGUAUCUAGACUCGUUUGAACGAUUUGAUGAGCUGCACCUUCCACCUCUCACUGCCUUCUACAGCCAUUUAACAGAGAGUGAUAA